GACGUAGGGCGCGAGCGUUGUCCGGAUUUAUUGGGCGUAAAGAGCUCGUAGGCGGCUUGUCGCGUCGACUGUGAAAACCCGCGGCUCAACCGUGUGGUCUGCAGUCGAUACGGGCAGGCUAGAGUUCGGUAGGGGAGACUGGAAUUCCUGGUGUAGCGGUGAAGUGCGCAGAUAUCAGGAGGAACACCGGUGGCGAAGGCGGGUCUCUGGGCCGAUACUGACGCUGAGGAGCGAAAGCGUGGGGAGCGAACAGG
rnacentral:rRNA from 1 species